rnacentral:rRNA from 1 species
CCUACGGGUGGCAGCAGUGGGGAAUAUUGCACAAUGGGGGAAACCCUGAUGCAGCGACGCCGCGUGAGUGAAGAAGUAUUUCGGUAUGUAAAGCCCUGUCAGCAGGGAAGAAAAUGACGGUACCUGACCAAGACGCCCCGGCUAACUACGUGCCAGCAGCCGCGGUAAUACGUAGGGGGCAAGCGUUAUCCGGAUUUACUGGGUGUAAAGGGAGCGUAGACGGCAGGGCAAGUCUGGUGUGAAAGGCGGGGGCUCAACCCCCGGACUGCACUUGAAACUGCCAGGCUGGAGUGCGGGAGAGGUAAGUGGAAUUCCUGGUGUAGCGGUGAAAUGCGUAGAUAUUAGGAGGAACACCAGUGGCGAAGGCGGCUUACUGGACUGUAACUGACGUUGAGGCUCGAAAGCGUGGGGAGCAAACAGGAUUAGAUACCCCUGUAGUC